rnacentral:rRNA from 1 species
CCUACGGGAGGCAGCAGUCGAGAAUCAUUCACAAUGGGGGAAACCCUGAUGGUGCGACGCCGCGUGGGGGAAUGAAGGUCUUCGGAUUGUAAACCCCUGUCAUGUGGGAGCAAAUUAAAAAGAUAGUACCACAAGAGGAAGAGACGGCUAACUCUGUGCCAGCAGCCGCGGUAAUACAGAGGUCUCAAGCGUUGUUCGGAAUCACUGGGCGUAAACCGUGCGUAGGCUGUUUCGUAAGUCGUGUGUGAAAGGCGCGGGCUCAACCCGCGGACGGCACAUGAUACUGCGAGACUAGAGUAAUGGAGGGGGAACCGGAAUUCUCGGUGUAGCAGUGAAAUGCGUAGAUAUCGAGAGGAACACUCGUGGCGAAGGCGGGUUCCUGGACAUUAACUGACGCUGAGGCACGAAGGCCAGGGGAGCGAAAGGGAUUAGAUACCCCAGUAGUC